CACGUAGGAGGCGAGCGUUAUCCGGAUUUACUGGGCGUAAAGCGCGUGCAGGCGGUUUGGUAAGUUGGAUGUGAAAGCUCCUGGCUUAACUGGGAGAGGUCGUUCAAUACUACCAGACUAGAGUAUGGGAGAGGGAGGUGGAAUUCCGGGUGUAGUGGUGAAAUGCGUAGAUAUCCGGAGGAACACCAGUGGCGAAAGCGGCCUCCUGGCCCAUUUCUGACGCUCAGACGCGAAAGCUAGGGUAGCAAACGGG
rnacentral:rRNA from 1 species